CUUUUGUAUAAUGGGUCAGCGACUUAUAUUCUGUAGCAAGGUUAACCGUAUAGGGGAGCCGCAGGGAAACCGAGUCUUAACUGGGCGUUAAGUUGCAGGGUAUAGACCCGAAACCCGGUGAUCUAGCCAUGGGCAGGUUGAAGGUUGGGUAACACUAACUGGAGGACCGAACCGACUAAUGUUGAAAAAUUAGCGGAUGACUUGUGGCUGGGGGUGAAAGGCCAAUCAAACCGGGAGAUAGCUGGUUCUCCCCGAAAGCUAUUUAGGUAGCGCCUCGUGAACUCAUCUUCGGGGGUAGAGCACUGUUUCGGCUAGGGGGUCAUCCCGACUUACCAACCCGAUGCAAACUACGAAUACCGAAGAAUGUUAUCACGGGAGACACACGGCGGGUGCUAACGUCCGUCGUGAAGAGGGAAACAACCCAGACCGCCAGCUAAGGUCCCAAAGUCACAGUUAAGUGGGAAACGAUGUGGGAAGGCACAGACAGCCAGGAUGUUGGCUUAGAAGCAGCCAUCAUUUAAAGAAAGCGUAAUAGCUCACUGGUCGAGUCGGCCUGCGCGGAAGAUGUAACGGGGCUAAACUGUGCAC
rnacentral:rRNA from 1 species